GAUGAACGCUGGCGGCGUGCCUAAUACAUGCAAGUCGAGCGAACAGAUGAGGAGCUUGCUCCUCUGACGUUAGCGGCGGACGGGUGAGUAACACGUGGAUAACCUACCUAUAAGACUGGGAUAACUUCGGGAAACCGGAGCUAAUACCGGAUAAUAUAUUGAACCGCAUGGUUCAAUAGUGAAAGACGGUUUUGCUGUCACUUAUAGAUGGAGCCGGGCCGGAUUAGCUAGUUGGUAAGGUAACGGCUUACCAAGGCAACGAUGCGUAGCCGACCUGAGAGGGUGAUCCGGCACACUGGAACUGGGACACGGUCCAGCACCCUACGGGGGGCAGCAGUGGGGAAUAUUGGCCAAUGGGCGCAAGCCUGAUCCAGCCAUACCGCGUGGGUGAAGAAGGCCUUCGGGUUUUAAAACCCUUUUUUUGGGGAAAAAAAAAAGGUGGUUAAAACCCCGCUGUUCUGACGGUACCCAAAGAAAAAGCCCCGGCUAACUUCGUG
rnacentral:rRNA from 1 species